rnacentral:rRNA from 1 species
AUUGAACGCUGGCGGCAGGCCUAACACAUGCAAGUCGAGCGGACGAAGGGAGCUUGCUCCUGGAUUCAGCGGCGGACGGGUGAGUAAUGCCUAGGAAUCUGCCUGGCAGUGGGGGAUAACGUCCGGAAACGGGCGCUAAUACCGCAUACGUCCUGAGGGAGAAAGGGGGGGAUCUUCGGACCUCACGCUAUCAGAUGAGCCUAGGUCGGAUUAGCUAGUUGGUGGGGUAAAGGCCUACCAAGGCGACGAUCCGUAACUGGUCUGAGAGGAUGAUCAGUCACACUGGAACUGAGACACGGUCCAGACUCCUACGGGAGGCAGCAGUGGGGAAUAUUGGGCAAUGGGCGAAAGCCUGAUCCAGCCAUGCCGCGUGUGUGAAGAAGGUCUUCGGAUUGUAAAGCACUUUAAGUUGGGAGGAAGGGCAGUAAGUUAAUACCUUGCUGUUUUGACGUUACCAACAGAAUAAGCACCGGCUAACUUCGUG